rnacentral:tRNA from 1 species
GCGCCACGCCGCGAGGUCGAUCACGUCCGCAGAGGCUCCAAACCAGCGGGUUCGGGGUUCGAGUCCCUGAUGGCGCA